rnacentral:misc_RNA from 1 species
GCUUCAUGGUGCUGGCCCACUCGAUCAUGGCGAGAUACGGCCCGGAGUACUCCAGGAUCAUCGCCUCGUGGAUCAUGGUCAGCUCGAGAUGCGUGGCGGGAUUGUCCACGGGCAGGCGGCCGGUUUCGGCCAGCA